AGGAGGACGCCGAAGGUGGGGCUAAUGACUGGGGUGAAGUCGUAACAAGGUAGCCGUACCGGAAGGUGCGGCUGGAUCACCUCCUAACAGGGAGACAACAAAAUGUUUAAUAUUAUUAUUUUGUCACCUUAGGUCGAUCGGUAUCUCACGUUCUUAAUUCGUUAAGAAUUUCAUUUCCUAAGUUUUUCUAGGUCACACCCAUUAUUUUUCCUGGGCCAUUAGCUCAGGUGGUUAGAGCGCACCCCUGAUAAGGGUGAGGUCCCUGGUUCAAGUCCAGGAUGGCCCAUAUCUCUAUGUUGGGGGUAUAGCUCAGUUGGUAGAGCGCCUGCUUUGCAAGCAGGAUGUCAGCGGUUCGAGUCCGCUUACCUCCACUGAUUACCACCUCUUCCAUAACCGAUAGAAAGGAAAUGUUUUGAGUUGUGAUCAUUAUUCUGAACGAAUCUAGCUUCCUAAUGAAAUCAUUAAGAUGCUGGACUCAUUGAAUUAAUUUUCAUUGUUUUCAGAGAACCUUGACAACUGCAUAGAUUAUUUUUAAAGACAAUAAGCAUCUUUAAUGAUGCAGAUUUAUUAUUUGUGCGAAUGCAUUAAUAACAAUUCUAUUAAGCUGAUGCUUCAAUUUUUGAAGUUAUUGGUCAAGCUACAAAGGGCUCACGGAGGAUACCUAGGCACACAGAGGC
rnacentral:misc_RNA from 1 species